CUCAGACAUGACUGAGCGACUGAGCGUGCACUCACAUGUGAUGCCUGCAGACACUGCCAAGUGCCCCGCAAGGAGAAGCUCUGACACAGAGGGUCCUGGCUGAGGAGAGUCCCUGAAACAGCGCUUCCCCAGUGCGGGGAUGUGGGGAGGAGCCGGGCAGGCAUGAACGUUUACAGAGCCUGUGCCAUUACUCGGCGCCAACACAUAGUGGAGGAGAACCUGCCAUGUGAGAUGUAAAUGACCCGGUAUGGGUAACUCCUUUGCAGAAUGCUCUUACAUCUGGAAGGCCCAGCCCUGUCUCAGAGCUCAUGACCCGGCAUCUCAGCACAGAACAUGGUCUCUGACACCCCACAGGCCCCUCCAGGCCUGGAAAGAGUGGGAAGCUGACAGCUGUGGCCCAGUGUGAGGUCUCCCGGGAACACCCGUAGCUCCAC
rnacentral:lncRNA from 1 species